AAUUAAAAAUGGAACAGAAUGGUAAGAAACAAAGACAAAAACUAAAGCAACUUCCCUGCACUCUCUCCUUCUUCCCGGGUUCAGCUUCACUUCUUCAUUCCCAACUCCUCUACCUCUUGCUCCCCAAGUGGCGCAGGGGAAAUGGGGAAUGUGGGGGGUUGCAGUCGGUCCGUAACAGCUCCUCUCUGCUGCUCCUUCCUCCUCCCACUUUCCCCCUGCUCUAGCGUGGGUCUUUCCCAGGGGCUGCAGUCCUUCAGGAUACACCUGCUCCAGCGUGGGGUCCUCCACGGGCUGCAGUGUGAACAUCUGCUCUGAGCUCAGGGAAAACCUGCAAUUCCAGCAGUUAUUCUAGCAAUAUUCCUGACAUCACAUUGGGCAAAGUUCUUCAGGCGCCUUCCCAGCUUGCUGGCCAAAGCCAAAGUUAGAGAUGAUGAAGAGUUCUGGGUUUGCUGAUGGUGGUCCCUUCUCCCAGGCAUAAGGUGUCCUGUGAAGGCUACCAACAGGAAGGUACUAUAAAAAUUUCACACUGGGAUAAAAGAGGCAGAUACUCUCUUACAGUUUUAAUAGACCUCUACUAGAAACUAGCAAACAUUUUAUAAGCAACUUUUGAAACCUCUGUCAAGAGUUGAUCAUUAAUAGAGGCACUCCUGUGCACCAAUAUGUUGCUCCCUGUUCAAAGAACUAUACUGUAAUUAGCUGCAGUCAACACAGUUUAGAGCUUCAAGUGUUGGUGAAAAUAAAAUAAUUCUUACCUACUUUAUGGUGAUUCACACUUUGCAUAAUGCUGGGCAAUUGCAAUGCCCCUUGAAGUUAAGAGCACACUUACUGUGCGUCUAAUCCUUCUGUACUUUUUGCAACAUUGGCAGUUGUUUACACACCAGCUGGGCUGUUAUGGGUGCUCUCUGAAUCACACACAGAGUCAGAGCAAGGGUCAUAACCAAGAAAAUUCCUUGUCGAAUAAGUUUUACAGAAUAACCUGCAUAGGUAUGUAGAGUAUGACUGAGAAUAGUAUCUGAGAGCAGAGGGUUUUGGUAAAGCAGUGACAACAGAAUAAAUGCUUCCUUAUCUAAUCACUAUGUACAUUUCUCUUAAAGAAAAAAAAAGAUAACUGAAGUCUGACAAAAAGGCUGGACUAGAAUUUAAUUCAUAAGUAAGUCAAAUCUCUUCAAACAUUGAAUUUUAUGAAGUGUUGCAAAUUUAAUUUGACAUUUCCUAGUUGCAUAUUGAAUUAGUAUCCUACUUAUUACUACAUCCUAUGUAUAGUACUAUAUAUCUAUUAUAUAUAGCAUAUUUGUACAUACUUCAUACAUAUAUGCAAAAUAUUUCUCAGUGGUUGACUUUGGAAUUAGUGGCUCUGGGGAGUUUUUACCCUAUCUUUGUAAAGGAUUUCUUCCUUUUUCUGUGGAAUUGAGGUAGUCUUCUGUCUUAAGAGAUAUUAAUAUAAAUAUAAGAACCCAACCUAUAUUCUAUGAGAAACUUGAUCUAGGAAUUCAUGCAGACAAAACUAUCAAUCAGAGAUGCAGUGUGCAGACAUUGAUAAAUACCAGGACACUUAGGAAGAUGCUAUGAAAUCUCCAUUUCUAUGAUUGAAGUCUUUACUGUAGAGCUCAGCUGAAAGAUGACUAUACCAGCUUCUGUACGUGCUUCUGUAAGGCAGUUGCUCAGUUCUGACUCAUAAAGAAAAGCCACUCACUGAAUCACCAGGUCACAGGUCCAGGUGAGAACCAAAGCUGUGCUAGAGGCGGUUUGGAAGAGCUGGCUGUUAAUUGCAGCCGGUUCUCAGACUGACCGUCAUUAGGUUCAAGAGAACCUCAGGUCUCCCUUCUUGCUGCUGCCGCUCCACUCCCAAGAAAUGCACCACUAGUGUCUGGUUCCGUGGGCGGCUGUUCCUCUCUGACCUGCUCAGCCUUAGACCCCAAAUCCCUAAUCUUGGCUGUAAUCUCGUAUUCUAGCAUCUGGAACCAGACAGCAUUUAUUGGGCAGAAGAUACUCCUGUUGGCAGUCUAAGAUAGGUUGUUGGAAAAAUGCUUAAGAGAAUAAUAGAGUUGAAAAUAAACGUAAAUCAAAACCUGACCCUCCAGGCACGCAGUCCCACCAGCUCUUGGAAACCACAGCCAACUCGACUGGAGCAUAGAAGCUGUGGGACCAAAUCGCUUCUUAUUAAUUCACCGCACAAGUGCUAACAGCAGCUCAUGGGAAGUGUAGGACAGCAAAAGUUCUUGGAGUGCUGUUGUCUUCUGGGAGGAAUUACUGUUCUUUAUUACACGGGAGAUGGCAGACAUCCCAUCCUGCGGGAAGCCCGGGGGAAAAGUGACGAAGUGACCUCAAACUAUAUUUUUGCCUUCAGCCUGGCAGCGCAAACUCCCCUCUGUCCCCCACCCCACUACGUGUUACGCCUGACACCUGCAUCGCCCAACGCUGAAGAUGCUGCAGUCAACGGGGAACGUAAAUAGCCAGAGUUAAUUGUUCAGUGUGUUUUGUGCUCCCGGUCUUCAUCGUAUGCUUGUCUGGUGUUGUGAGUGGCGGCUGUGAUAGCCACCCAUCCCGAGAGCAGUGGGGUUAAAUUUCUGCCCUGCUCUCCUGAAGACGGAUUCUUCGUUGACCCUCGCUCUUCCAUGGCUUCGGAAGCUUUCGUAGUGCAACCACUGAAAGCCCAGCAAAUCCAGUCUGACUGGCAGAUGUGAGUAUCUUCUGAUUCAGCAGAACAGAUGCGAUUUCUGUGCAUGUAGGGAAGCCAAACAUCCCUCUGAAAUACAGAGGCAAACUCCUUGGGGAGAUGUGUCGUGCUGCAAAGAGCUGAGGGCAAAUUGAAUUUGAGGAGAGAGACGGGCAGAGGGUAAAAGCUGCAUGAAUAUGUAAGGUAGGGGGAUUUCUGCAGAAGACAUUACUGCAGGCUCAGCUGUAAUUAAACUGCCCACAGCUGCUGUUUCUCUGUCACCUUUGGAAGGGGAAAAUGCUUUAACCAGCAGCAAAGUCAAAGGAAAACUUUAGGUAUAACCUAAGAUCUCAAGUUGCUCAAUGUGACCUAAGAGAAAACCAUUUUAUUUUACCUUAUCA